AGCGUAGACGGUGUGGCAAGUCUGAUGUGAAAGGCAUGGGCUCAACCUGUGGACUGCAUUGGAAACUGUCAUACUUGAGUGCCGGAGGGGUAAGCGGAAUUCCUAGUGUAGCGGUGAAAUGCGUAGAUAUUAGGAGGAACACCAGUGGCGAAGGCGGCUUACUGGGCGGUAACUGACGUUGAGGCUCGAAAGCGUGGGAGCAAACA
rnacentral:rRNA from 1 species